UACAGAGGUGGCAAGCGUUGUUCGGAUUUAUUGGGCGUAAAGGGUUCGUAGGCGGACCGGAAAGUCAGAUGUGAAAUCCCACAGCUCAACUGUGGAACUGCAUUUGAAACUUCCGGACUAGAGUAUGAGAGGGGUAAAGGGAAUUCCCGGUGUAAGGGUGAAAUCUGCAGAGAUCGGGAGGAACACCAGUCGCGAAGGCGCUUUACUGGCUCAUUACUGACGCUCAGGAACGAAAGCUAGGGUAGCAAACGGGAUUAGAUACCCAGUAGUCC
rnacentral:rRNA from 1 species